AAUAAUAAUAAUAAUAAUAAUAAUAAACCGGUUCCCGUACGAUCACCGAAGUUAAGCAGCAUCGGGCGUGGUGCAAACUUGGAUGGGUGACCGUUUGAGAACGCCACGUGCUGUUGGCU
rnacentral:rRNA from 2 species